UACGGGGGGGGCAAGCGUUGUUCGGAAUUACUGGGCGUAAAGCGUGCGCAGGCGGUUAUGUAAGACAGAUGUGAAAUGCCCGGGCUUAACCUGGGAACUGCAUUUGUGACUGCAUGGCUAGAGUUUGGCAGAGGGGGGUAGAAUUCCACGUGUAGCAGUGAAAUGCGUAGAUAUGUGGAGGAACACCGAUGGCGAAGGCAGCCCCCUGGGUCAAGACUGACGCUCAUGCACGAA
rnacentral:rRNA from 1 species